rnacentral:rRNA from 1 species
UGGCGGACGGGUGAGUAAUGUCUGGGAAACUGCCUGAUGGAGGGGAUAACUACUGGAAACGGUAGCUAAUACCGCAUAACGUCGCAAGACCAAAGAGGGGACCUUCGGGCCUCUUGCCAUCGGAUGUGCCCAGAUGGGAUUAGCUAGUAGGUGGGGUAACGGCUCACCUAGGCGACGAUCCCUAGCUGGUCUGAGAGGAUGACCAGCCACACUGGAACUGAGACACGGUCCAG